AAAAUUAAAUAAUCCAAACACACUAUACAUGGUAAAAAUUUAUUGCUAAAACACAUUACACUGUGGACUGUGAAGUACUGAAUUGUGUAGUUAAACCGUUAAACAGUUUUGCACCAGUGCUGUGUUCAGGAUUCUUUUGGGCGGGGCUAAAACGGUGGCUCGAUGACGCACUGGACCCACCGAGGCAGGCCCCUCCCGUAACAAUAUGACUAGAGCACAUUCGGUUCAGUUUGCCAUUCAAUCACGAGUUACAGUCAGACUCAGUACUAGUUUCAACAGCCUACAGUUAGCAAAGUCAUCGACUACCAUCGUUUAAAUACGUUGACCAGAGCAUAACCUGUCAUCUUCACCCAAGAGACCUACUGUUGGACAAUUCUUUUUGCUUUAAAGAUGCUGUUUGCCAUUGUUCAAUUUAUCAACGAGGAUGAUCUGCCAUUUGCAGUGGUUCCGCAAGUGUGGCUCAGCAAUGACAUGUGCUAUUGGCCCCCAUUUGACCUCCGAA